rnacentral:rRNA from 1 species
GACGAACGCUGGCGGCGUGCUUAACACAUGCAAGUCGAACGGAAAGGCCCUGCUUGCAGGGUACUCGAGUGGCGAACGGGUGAGUAACACGUGGGUGAUCUGCCCUGCACUUCGGGAUAAGCCUGGGAAACUGGGUCUAAUACCGGAUAGGAGCCAUUUUUAGUGUGAUGGUUGGAAAGUUUUUUCGGUGUAGGAUGAGCUCGCGGCCUAUCAGCUUGUUGGUGGGGUAAUGGCCUACCAAGGCGGCGACGGGUAGCCGGCCUGAGAGGGUGGACGGCCACAUUGGGACUGAGAUACGGCCCAGACGCCUACGGGAGGCAGCAGUGGGGAAUAUUGCACAAUGGGCGCAAGCCGGAUGCAGCGACGCCGCGUGGGGGAUGACGGCCUUCGGGUUGGAAACUCCUUUCGCUAGGGACGAAGCUUUUUGUGACGGUACCUAGAGAAGAAGCACCGGCUAACUACGUG